rnacentral:rRNA from 1 species
AGUGAACGCUGGCGGUAGGCCUAACACAUGCAAGUCGAACGGCAGCACGGUAAGAGCUUGCUCUUACGGGUGGCGAGUGGCGGACGGGUGAGGAAUACAUCAGAAUCUACUUUUUCGUGGGGGAUAACGUAGGGAAACUUACGCUAAUACCGCAUACGACCUACGGGUGAAAGCAGGGGAUCUUCGGACCUUGCGCGAUUGAAUGAGCCGAUGUCGGAUUAGCUAGUUGGCGGGGUAAAGGCCCACCAAGGCGACGAUCCGUAGCUGGUCUGAGAGGAUGAUCAGCCACACUGGAACUGAGACACGGUCCAGACUCCUACGGGAGGCAGCAGUGGGGAAUAUUGGACAAUGGGCGCAAGCCUGAUCCAGCCAUACCGCGUGGGUGAAGAAGGCCUUCGGGUUGUAAAGCCCUUUUGUUGGGGAAGAAAAGCAGCAGGUUAAUACCCCGCUGUUCUGACGGUACCCAAAGAAUAAGCACCGGCUAACUUCGUG